CUGGACAAAAUGACAGUGUAACAUAUAGACUUGUGAUGGAAAAGAAAAUAUACUUAACUGAAUAAGAAUAAGGUUUAGUUAUCUUUUGAAAACAAAUAAAUAAUAAUAAUCGUUAUAUUAUUUGCAAUCUGCCAUUGCUAUCCUUAGCACAGGUUGCAUUUCAAAAAUUUCUUUGAAAAUACAAAAUUUGUCAAAUCUGCAGGCAUCACAAAAAAUCUGUGAGGAUCAAAACAUUCCCUUUUUUGUACGAGUGAACAAAUAAAGAUAUUUGAAAAAAGAAGUGGAGAAUAGAGUCCUAAUUUUGAUAUUUCCUUGAGUGAAAGACAUGUGCACCUACAAAAAGGUUACAAUGAAAUUAUUGAAUGAGCAGAAAGCAAAAACAUAUUCUCUGCAUGCAUUCAUGAAUGAAAACAUAAUUUUGCUUUGACUACAUACCGUAUUUCACCGCAUAAUAGUCACACCAUGGUUUUUCUGCCCAAAAAAAGGUUCAAACCCAGUUUAUCACGUAAUAGUCGCAUAAUUGACCAUUGCUGUUUUUUGUUGUUAUUAUUAAAAACUAAUUGCGAACAUCCUACUGAUCUUAUACUGAAGAGAGGGUCUAUUACCUAUCUGUUUAUUGUAUUUUAGUGUGUUUUAUCUAUGUAAUGCAUUAAAAAAUGACAGGAGGAGAGGGGUCACAAACAGAGUUUAUGUGAUGCAUUGGAAAAUAUGCUGUUAUGUAAUUAACAACUAUACUGUUAUCAGCAACUGUUACAAAACUGUUAAAAAAACAAAGCUUUGUAUAUAUAAUAUGGCAAAAAAUAAACCUUUGCAUAAUGGUCGCACCCCCAUUUUUAAGGAUUUAAGAAUUAUGUGGUGAAAUACAGUCAUUUUAAUGGGAGUAAGAAGGGCCUCUGACUUUAAAAUGGUACUCUCACCAAAUGGUUCCCAACCCAGAUCUAGGAUGUUUUGGACUACAUCUCCCUUGAUGCUUUGCUAGCAUUAUGGCCCUAAGAGCAUCAUGGGAGAUGUAGUCCAAAACAUCUGAGAUUGCCCACCCCUGCCCUAGACUAUACAACAGGUUCCCAAACCUUGGAUACAUAUAGGUUCAGUGCUAACAUCUGAAAUCAUUGAAAUCUCAUAUUUACUGAACCGGUGAUGUCAGAAAAAGCAGAACAGUGACCACGCGGAAAGUAUUGCUAGGCAAAUGUUGCUCACACUUGCUUCAGAUUUUUUGUUUCUGCUGUCCCUAAGAAAUAAAAAAAACACCAACUAUACAAUAUGUGUGUGUGCUUGUCGAGCACGUUACUUGGUGCAUAAAAUAGCAUAUUCAAGUGCCAAUGCUUCUCCCUUCCCCACUUUAACCAACUAUGAAUAACUUGAGUGUGUUAGCUUGAUUUUUUUGUUUUCUCCCCUCCAUCAUCGCUGCUGCUCUCUACUCUCCACCCACGGCCUAUCUUUGUAAGGUUGUGAACAUUUCAAUGGUCCCUAGUAUUAAAGAAACACUCCACUGUCAAAAUACAAAAUUUUAUAAAACAAAAUUUAAACUAAAAAAUCACUGCAUUAUUUCAUUAUACAUAUUUACAUUGGGAGGUUAUAUAAAACAGCUUGCUAGUUACUGCAAGCCCUCCCCUUCUUCCCCUCCCAGACCUCCUGUGGCUGUCCAAUCACAGACAUUCCAAUGCAGCUUGAUGAGAAGUCUUUGCAAGGCAAUUGUCUGUCUCUCGAGUUUUGAUCCGCCAAGUUAAAAAAAACAGGAAGUAACAGUACCUGUUGUCUGAUUAACAGCCAGGAGGUGUAACAAGGUUAAUUUAUAAAAGUGCCAAUUUCUAUUUGUACUUUUUUGUAAAAUGAAAAAAAAAAGAAAAGAGGUCACUCUUCACACACAUGAAGUACUUCAGCAAACUGGAGUCUAAAGUGUCCCUUUAAGCGUGAGAACUGGGAAGCUCUCCCCUCCUUCCUGUUUUUACUUGCUCUAUAGUCGUGUAAGGAAGCAGAGAUAUGUGACACCCUGCAGUGAAACUAGGGGUGGUUGUAGGUGCAUGUGCCCCAGAUGAAGUGGCAUUGCCAGGGGCCAGGUGGACUCCUGUCUGAGCCUGGAGCUCUGGCACUGAUGGCGCAUUCCUCCCAUACU